CCUGGAUUUAUCGGGUUAAAGGGUGCGUGGGCGGAAUAAUAAGUCAGUGGUGAAAGCCGUGCAGAUUAAACUGUAGACUUAUCAUUGAUACUGUUUUUCUCGAGUAUGGUCAAGGGCAUGCCGGAAUGUGUAAUGUAGCGGUGAAAUGCUUAGAUAUUACACAGAACACCGAUAGCGAUGGCAGCUUGCUGGGCCGUUACUGACGCUGAUGCACGAAAGCGUGGGGAUCGAACAGGAUUAGAUACCCUGGUAGACCACGCCGUAAACGAUGAUCACUAGCUGUUGGCGAUACACCGAUCAGCGGCAAAGCAAAAGCAUUAAGUGAUCCACCUGGGGAGUACGGCCGCAAGGCUGAAACUCAAAGGAAUUGACGGGGGCCCGCACAAGCGGAGGAACAUGUGGUUUAAUUCGAUGAUACGCGAGGAACCUUACCUGGGCUUAAAUGUAGAGUGCAUUGAGAGGAAACUUUCAUUUUCUUCGGAACUCUUUACAAGGUGCUGCAUGGUUGUCGUCAGCUCGUGCCGUGAGGUGUCGGGUUAAGUCCCAUAACGAGCGCAACCCUUAUCGUUAGUUGCCAGCGGGUAAUGCCGGGAACUCUAGCGAAACUGCCGGUGUAAACCGAGAGGAAGGUGGGGAUGACGUCAAAUCAGCACGGCCCUUAUCAGCAAACAUAUACGCCCGUGACAAUGGCAAGUACAGAGGGCAGCUACCUGGAGACAGCAUGCGAAUCUUGAAAGCCGGUGUCAGUUCUGAUCGGAGUUUGCCACCCGAGUCGCCGAAAAUGCAUUAGUUAGUAAUCGCGCAUCAGC
rnacentral:rRNA from 1 species